rnacentral:snoRNA from 1 species
AGCACAUUUGAACUGGUGAACAAAGACAUUAAGGCAGGUGCAAAAAUAAAUCCUCUUCUGUAACCCAGAACUCGCUGCUCAGUGUGAGUCUUGAUAUAUAUAUGAAGGAAUAUA